rnacentral:rRNA from 1 species
AACGAACGCUGGCGGCAGGCCUAACACAUGCAAGUCGAGCGAGCCUUCGGGGGAGCGGCGGCCCGGAGAGUAACGCGUGGGAAUAUGCCCUUCUCUACGGAAUAGUCCUGUGAAACUGGGGGUAAUACGGUAAACGCGCUCUGGGGGAGAGUUUUAUCGUGGAAGGCUUAGUUCGCGAGGGAUUAGGUAGUUGGCGGGGUCAUGGACUACGAAGCCGACGACGCAUAGCAGGUUUGAGAGGAUGAUCAGCCACACUGAGACUGGGACACGGCACAGACUCCUACGGGAGGCAGGAGUGGGUGAUCGUGGACAGUGGGGGCAAUCCUGAACUAGCCAGGCCGGGUGAGCGAUGAAGGCCUGGGGGUUGUAAUGCUCUAGCAGCUGGGAAGGUAAUGACGGUACCAACAGAAAAAGCCACGGCUAACUCCGUG